rnacentral:rRNA from 1 species
CAGUAGCCACGGUAAUGCGGAGGGUGCAAGCGUUAAUCGGAAUUACUGGGCGUAAAGCGCACGCAGGCGGUCUGUCAAGUCAGAUGUGAAAUCCCCGGGCUUAACCUGGGAACUGCAUUUGUGACUGGCAAGCUAGAGUCUGGCAGAGGGGGGUGGAAUUCCGCGUGUAGCAGUGAAACGCGUAGAUAUGCGGAGGAACACCGAUGGCGAAGGCAGCCCCCUGGGCCAACACUGACGCUCAUGCACGAAAGCGUGGGGAGCAAACAGGAUUAGAUACCCCAGUAGUCCCUGUCUCUUAUAC